GUUCCCUACGGGGCGCAGCAGUAGGGAAUAUUGGUCAAUGGGCGGGAGCCUGAACCAGCCAAGCCGCGUGAAGGAAGAAGGCGCCAGGAGUCGUAAACUUCUUUUGUCGGGGAACAAAGGGCGCCACGCGUGGCGUUGUGAGUGUACCCGAAGAAAAAGCAUCGGCUAACUCCGUGCCAGCAGCCGCGGUAAUACGGAGGAUGCGAGCGUUAUCCGGAUUUAUUGGGUUUAAAGGGUGCGUAGGCGGUCCGGAAAGUCAGCGGUAAAAGCCCGGGGCUCAACCCCGGCGAGCCGUUGAAACUGUC
rnacentral:rRNA from 1 species